GCAGCUACCAUGCAGUCGAGCGGUAGAGAGGUGCUUGCACCUCUUGAGAGCGGCGGACGGGUGAGUAAUGCCUAGGAAUCUGCCUGGUAGUGGGGGAUAACGCUCGGAAACGGACGCUAAUACCGCAUACGUCCUACGGGAGAAAGCAGGGGACCUUCGGGCCUUGCGCUAUCAGAUGAGCCUAGGUCGGAUUAGCUAGUUGGUGAGGUAAUGGCUCACCAAGGCGACGAUCCGUAACUGGUCUGAGAGGAUGAUCAGUCACACUGGAACUGAGACACGGUCCAGACUCCUACGGGAGGCAGCAGUGGGGAAUAUUGGACAAUGGGCGAAAGCCUGAUCCAGCCAUGCCGCGUGUGUGAAGAAGGUCUUCGGAUUGUAAAGCACUUUAAGUUGGGAGGAAGGGCAUUAACCUAAUACGUUAGUGUUUUGACGUUACCGACAGAAUAAGCACCGGCUAACUCUGUGCCAGCAGCCGCGGUAAUACAGAGGGUGCAAGCGUUAAUCGGAAUUACUGGGCGUAAAGCGCGCGUAGGUGGUUCGUUAAGUUGGAUGUGAAAUCCCCGGGCUCAACCUGGGAACUGCAUUCAAAACUGUCGAGCUAUAUGAGGGUAGAGGGUGGUGGAAUUUCCUGUGUAGCGCUUAAUUGUCUUUAUUUAUGAAUGCU
rnacentral:rRNA from 1 species